CACUGGCAGGCAGAAGAACAGCAGCAUGAAGUCCCAGAACGCCAGGCUGGCCAGCGCGCAGUUCCACGUGCUCUUCAGACACUGAAGUGUUGCGACGGUCCAACAGGACUCAGACAGAACAUGAUAACCCUGAGACCCGAGAGCUGCGAGUGUGUGUGUGUCAUUGUGUUUGUCAGCAUCGAGUCGAAUGCUAUUGUCAAAUCCAGCACUUUCAUUCUUGUGUUCAGUAACCGGCUCCACCGGACGCACCGGUUCCCGCGGUUUCUUUACAUAAGAUCAGGUUUCCCAGCAAGCACAUUUCUGAGAUUGGUGAGAUUUUGGAGCCGGUUUUGAUCAAUGCCACGCUCCGUUUACUGCAGGAUCUAGUUAAACCAGUCUGUGCCACGAGCGGGAAGAAGCUAAAGUAGACCUGAUGCAGGUUUAUCUGCUCAUCCAGAUCAGCCCGUGAACGUGAACUCAAGGUUGUGUAAACAAGUCAAAAACCACAUACCACCAGAACUGGUUUGGGAAAUAAACUCAUUUCAGCCGAAUAUGCAGAAUAUGUGUGUUUGAGACGAUGCGCGUGUGUGUUCAUCGUGUGUCACG